AGCGAACGCUGGCGGCAGGCUUAACACAUGCAAGUCGAACGGGCGUAGCAAUACGUCAGUGGCAGACGGGUGAGUAACGCGUGGGAACGUACCCUUCGGUUCGGAAUAACUCAGGGAAACUUGGGACAAUACCGGAUACGUCCGUAAGGAGAAAGAUUUAUCGCCGAAGGAUCGGCCCGCGUUGGAUUAGCUAGUUGGCGGGGUAAUGGCCCACCAAGGCGACGAUCCAUAGCUGGUCUGAGAGGANGAUCAGCCACACUGGGACUGAGACACGGCCCAGACUCCUACGGGAGGCAGCAGUGGGGAAUUUUGGACAAUGGGCGCAAGCCUGAUCCAGCCAUUCCGCGUGCAGGAUGAAGGCC
rnacentral:rRNA from 1 species